rnacentral:rRNA from 1 species
ACGGGGGUUGCGAGCGUUGUCCGGAAUUACUAGGCGUAAAGGGCAGGUAGGCGGAUCUAUAAGUUUGAUGUUAAAGGCGACGGCUUACCCGUCGUAAGGCAUUAGAUACUGUAGAUCUAGAAUGCGGUUGGGGAAGACAGAAUUCCUGGUGUAGCGGUGGAAUGCGCAGAGAUCAGGAGGAAUACCGAAGGCGAAGGCAGUCUUCUAAGCCGAUAUUGACGCUAAACUGCGAAGGUGUGGGUAUCAAACAG